UACAGAGGUCCCGAGCGUUGUUCGGAUUCACUGGGCGUAAAGGGUGCGUAGGGGGUGAGGGAAGUCGGAUGUGAAAGCUCGGAGCUCAACUCCGAAAUGGCAUUGGAAACUACCUUGCUAGAGGGUUGGAGGGGGGACUGGAAUGCUUGGUGUAGCAGUGAAAUGCGUAGAUAUCGAGCGGAACACCAGUGGCGAAGGCGAGUCCCUGGACAACUCCUGACACUGAGGCACGAAAGCUAGGGGAGCAAGCAGG
rnacentral:rRNA from 1 species